GCCUGUAUCCACUGUUGCAUCAGAGUCCUCAUUUAGCACAGGUGGUAGAGUGAUUAUUCCAAAUCGAAAUAGACUUAAUCCUAAGACUUUGGAAGCAUUAAUGUGUACUCAAAGUUGGUUGGCUGCCCUUGAGAAUGGAGGUGAAGCAACAAUACCGGGAAAUCCUUUUCCAACUAUCAAUGAUGAUGAUAAGGACGUAGAGGAAUGUGUGUCUGGUGUAAGUUGUGUAACAUAUGUUGGUGUUGAUUGAUCAAGCACUUCAAGUUUCAAGUUUAGUAACUGCAUAUGCUGGGAAUCGACUGUUUGUGCUCCGUUUUUGAGAGUUCCCAAUGCUCUAGCUACUGCUCUUGUUUGUUUGAAACUGUUUGUAUUUCAAUUUGGUUUGUAAUGCACUAUGGCAGCAGCUGUGACUGUUUUAAUUUGGUUUGUAAUGGCUACCAUAAUGACACUACGGUAGCAGAUAUGUGACUCUUUUUAUUUCGAUUUGGUUUGUAAUGGCACUAUGGUUGCAACUGUGGCUGUUUUCCUCGGCAUUUGGUUUGUAAAUUGUAAUGGCAGCCUAGAUUUUUUUUUCUUUUC